CCUUAGGAAAGUGUUCAAGGCGGAGGAUGGCGUUAAAGAUUGAUGCGAUGAGUGCAAUCCCUUUUAUGGGGAGUUCCUUGAUUGCUUUAUUUCCUAUUAGGUCGUGACCUGCUGCUUUCUUGGGGUUUAGGCGACUGAUUGCUUCUAUGAUCUCUGCAGAAGUGAAGGGUUGGAUAGGAGGGGACAUUUGGAAGGGAGUGUGCAGGUAUUCGGUGACGUCCGCUGUAGCUAUGGAGGAAUGGGGUUGGAAUACUUCAGUCAAGUGUUUGGCAAAUAGGUUGGCUUUUUCUAUAGGGCUACGCGCCCAUCCACCCUGCGGGCGGCGGAUUGGAGGUAUUAUUUGUGGGGGGCGCGUGAGUUUCCUGGAGGCUUUCCAUAGUGAGUAGUUUGAGUCGGCUGUGGGGGACAGGCUGGCGAGAUAUUUGUGAAAACGGUCAUUAUUGUAGUUCUUUAUGGUUUUGGAUAGUUUUCUAGUUGCGUUGUUUAGUUUGCGUUUGUCCUC
rnacentral:misc_RNA from 1 species